UCAGAUCGCAGUCUGCAACCCGACUGCGUGAAGUCGGAAUCGCUAGUAAUCGCGGAUCAGCAUGCCGCGGUGAAUACGUUCCCGGGCCUUGUACACACCGCCCGUCACACCAUGAGAGCCGGGAACACCCGAAGUCCGUAGCCUAACCGCAAGGGGGCGCGGCCGAAGGUCGGGUUCGAUAAUUGGGGUGAAGUCGUAACAAGGUAAC
rnacentral:rRNA from 1 species